UGAGUUGACGAGACAAUCGCUGCUUACUUAAUUUAUUAAGCAAGGGGAGGAAAGUCCGGGCUCCAAUGAGCAGGGUGCCAGGUAACGCCUGGGCGGCGUGAGCCGACGACAAGUGCAGCAGAGAGAAGACCGCCGAUGACCUUUUUUAUUUAUUGAAAAGUUUAUAGAAAAGGCACAGGUAAGGCUGAAAGGGUGCGGUAAGAGCGCACCGGAUUACUGGUAACAGUAAUUGCAGGGUAAACUCCACCCGGAGCAAGACCAAAUAGGGUUUCAUGACUAUUUUAACGUAAGUUUAAAUAGUAUAAGCGUGGCUCGCGUGGAAACCGGGUAGGUUGCUUGAGCUAUAGAGCGAUUUAUAGCCUAGACGAAUGAUUGUCACUUUCUUUUAAUUAAGGAAGCUACAAAACCCGGCUUAUGCGUCAAUCUCACCUA
rnacentral:RNase_P_RNA from 1 species